UUGUGUUCCACACUGUGCAAGAUUCUUUGGAGGGUUUCAGUGGAGGAGUGAUAUACUUUGGAGAAAAUACCAGUCUGGCAGCACAGGGAGAAUGGGCGGAGGGAGAGGGAGAAACCCAGACAAGAAGCUGCCGUGGUGAUCUGGGCACUGAUGAUGGCGGCUGGACCUGCCAUACAAUGGGACAUUCGAGAAACAUUUCGAGGUUGAGUGGAGAAGCAAAUGGACUCAAGAAUCCAAGAGUGGGGGCUCCAGCCUAGACAGGUGGGUGGACACUAGAUAUGGCGGGUGAACGAACCAGGGCAGGUGGGGGAGCCGGGGGAACGGGUCGUUGCGUCACCCAUGGAGCCAACGAUAUCGAUGGUGGCCGCUGACAUUUCUAGCAAGCCUCCUCCCAUGUGGUCCACACGACAAUCUAAGAGGCAGGUAUGGGAAUCGUCCCCACUUGUGUACGUAGGAAAUCAGGGUUGUGAGGGGGAGUCUCUCAGCCUCUGUAUGGCGGAGCCUGGAUCAAAUCCAGUCAGCCGGCUGCCGCGCUGGCUUUCUCAGCUCCCAGACGGUGCUGUAGAGCAGGUGUGCAGGUGGGAACCAGCUUUGCUCAUCUCGGUGGCCUUGUAGAACCUGGCAUGGCGUUCAUGGUGGAGGCCUUUCUCCUGGAGUGAUUAGAAUUGGAAAGCUGCUCCAGGGGCAAUGGGGUCUUAAGUCGUUUGUACUCGUCUGACCACACACGUAUCUUCCCUCCUGCCACAGUCUUUAAUAGGGGAGGGUACGCCAUGUUUGUGUUGGUAGAUUUGUGGAGGCAUUGAAAGAACUGGUCGGUAUUAAACCGUGUUAAAUGCUUGUGUAGUAAGCUGCGGGGUUGGGACGAGGGGAGGCCGAGUCGGGCAAGUGCGGUGUCCAGCCCUCUGUUUUGGUAAAAUGGCGUUAUGGUUUUCAUCAGGGACUUCUUGCACCUACUUUGAUUUUUUUUUUAAAUAUUGCAUUAAAAAUAUCGUGAUGAGUUCAGGUUUUGGGUGCCACCUUAAAUUUUCACCCCAGGUGGGUGCCUCAUUCACCCCACAUUAGCCUUGGGAAGGAGCGUUACACGGAUCCAAACAUUCCCCACUUACUCUACCGCUGUUAUUUCUAUGCAGAUACAAAAAUAGAUUUUCUACAUGGAACAGUAUUCAUCUGUUGGAAAGAAAUACCACUUUAAAUUGGUUAUUCGCAGACUGUGACUAGGCGCCCCUGAUCCCAAAGACUGGUAAAUAAAUAGGAAAGCCAUCCCAGUUCUGGCGAUGGGAACAAAACAGGUUCCACGGAGGAGGGAAGUCAGUUGCAAAAGCUCAGAGAAGGGUGUGGCUUAUUUGAGCGGGACAGAGAGCAAAAGAGGCCACCCUCGUACCCCAGUGCAGCUCGUCGGGGUAUCAGGUCAAAAACAGUUUGCCUGUACUCAGAAUUCCUUUUGGACUGAGCAUUCUGCAUAAUCCAGACCAGGGUUUGGCAAACUUUUCCGUCAAGGACCCGAUGAAUGUCACAUGAUCUCUGUCGCAAUGACUCAAUUUAGCCACUGUGACUGGAAACUACCAUAGACAACACUUAAAUGUGUGAGUGGCUUUGUUCCAAUAAAACCUCGUUUACAAAGAUAGGUGGCAGGCCAAAAGUGGGCCUUAGCGUGUUGACCCCUGAUCUAGACGCUGAACUUUGAAGACAGGAAGUACAGGGUUGCGGCGUGGUUGAGAGGGCUGGCUCUGGGAUCAGGCUGCCUGUGCCGCUGUCCUGAGUCCAGUUUCUUUGUGGCCUUAGGACAAUUAAUGUUCCAGUGUCUUACUUUUUCUUCAUCUGUAAACUGGGAGCAUGGACAGUAUAUUCUUUGGAAGGUUAUUGCAAGAAUCAAGGCAGAUAAAAUACUUAGAAUUAUUUCUGGAAUAUUAAAAGAGCUGAAAAAAAAAAUAGGGGUGGGUGGGUGGCUCAGCCGGUUAAACGACCGACUGUUGAUUUUGGCUCAGGUCAUGGUCUCACGGUUCAUGGGAUCAAGCCCCGCAUCGGGUUCCACACUGAGCGUGGAGCCUGCUUCAGAUUCUCUCUCACUUUCUCUCUUUCUCUCUCUGCCCUUCCCCUGCUCAUGCACAUACACACACCCUCUGUCUCUCUCUCAAAAUAAACACACAUUAUUAAAAAAAUUUUUUAAUGUUUAUUUAUUAUUGAGAGACAGACAGUGCAUGAGCGGGGGGCGGGGGGUGGCGCGGGGCAGAGAGAGGAGGAGACACAGAAUCCGAAGCAGGCUCCAGGCUCUGAGCUGCCAGCACAGAGCCCGACGCGGGGCUUGAACUCACGGAGUGUGAGAUCAUGAUCUGAGCUGAAGUUGGACGCUCAACCGACCGAGCCACCCAGGCGCCCCGAACUGUAGUCGCUUCUAAGACAUAAGCCCAUUGUGUUCAUUAGUGAAUGUAAUAUGACGAACAAGAAUUUUAAUAAGACGUUUGCAUUUGAGAUCCUUGAAUUUUUAAUGCAGGUGGAAUUUUCUACCUAGAGUCAUCUCAUUGGUCUCUCUAUAGGUUUUCGUCUUUAAUUUAUCCUACAAGCUGCUGCCAGGUACGUGCUCCUAAAAUACCAUUUCUAGGGGCUCCUGGGUGGCUCAGUCGGUUGGGCGUCCGACUUCGGCUCAGGUCACGAUCUCGCGGUCCAUGAGUUCGAGCCCCGCGUCGGGCUCUGGGCUGAUGGCUCAGAGCCUGGAGUCUGUUUCCGAUUCUGUGUCUCCCUCUCUCUCUGCCCCUCCCCCGUUCAUGCUCUGUCUCUCUCUGUCCCCAAAAUGAAUAAACGUUAAAAAAAAAAUUAAAAAAAUAAAAUAAAAUACCAUUUCUACAUGCCACAUAAUUCGCUUGCAAAAGAAACAUCGAAGUCUCUCUGACCUACAGUUCAGACUUAGUUUCAACUUGUAUUUGCAGCCUGAAUACCUACUAAUUCUCUGGAAAAAACUUUCCACUAUAGGCACAUGUACUUUCUUUUCUGCCUCCUGGAGAAGUCUUGUAUUUUCCCUUACGACGUGCAGCCUACCUCGAAAUACUCACGUUGGCUAACAUUUAUGAGGUCUGUCCCAAGCUCUAUUCUAAGCGUUUCUGUGUAUGAUCAUAUUUACAGUCCUAUGGUAUAGGGAUUAUUAUUUUCAUCAGGAAAUUGAGGUAUAGAAAAAUCAGGUCACACCGCUGGAGGUGGAGGGAGGAAGCAGCUCAUGCAGGAUGACCCCAGACUGUACCCCCACCCGCUGCUCCUUCCUCCUCUCUACCUGUUCCCAUCUGGUUUCCCAUUCAAGACUCAGUUUGAGCUCUGCUUGCUUCAUAAAGCUUUCCUACUUUCUCUAUGUGAUUGGAUUUAAUUAGCCCCUCCUUGGAACUCUUGCAAGGCUUAAUAUUCACUUGGAACUUCAUCAGCCCAUACUCGGAGUCAACUCUUAUUAGGCUAUUAUUUAAAUCUUCUUUGUUCCUCAGUUUACCCAGUUAUUUCUUCUCAUCUCUCUGAUCAGCUGGAGUUACUUAGAAGUACAUUUCCUUGUGCUGCCCACGUGGCCUGGCACGUAAAAUGGGUUCAACAAAUGUUUGUUAACUUGGCUUGCUUUUGCUCAAGGGUUUAUCAUCCCAGGUAGAACUAUAAGCAGGAAGUUAAUUGAUAGAUGCGCUGAAUGGUACCCUCUGUUUACAACAGCCACGCCUGGUUAUUUUUAACUGGCAUGCUUAUGCAUUUGAGCCAGGCUUUAGGCAAGAAUUUGUGCUACUGACUAAUGGGUCACACAUUUGAAUGCUCUCUGGUUUCCAAUGACCAGGCUGUACUGCUGGGGAGUUGGGAUUAUUGUAUCUCCCAACAGGAUGAAGCUGAGCGGACGUUCCCAUAUCUAAGUUAAUCUGAAUGCGGUCACACUUUGAGAUCUGAUCAUUGUCCAAUGUUAUUUUUUCCAGCUUUGGUACAAAUUCAAGAGAAGCAAAGAACCCAUUCGAUGGUAUCUGUGUAGGAGUCCUAGUCUUUGGCUAACUGUAGGGAUUCCUGCACUCUUUUACAAUGGAAAGCAUUGUUAAGAUUAAAUAUUAUGGUGAUCUUGGUGUACUCUGAGUCCUUAUUUCUUUAGUCUCUGUCUUUUCCCAGCUUAACUAAUUUUUCCCAUCAUCCCUUGGGCCCUGUGGAGUAUCCCUAAAAGACAUCCCCUUGCCACAUCCAGUGACAUCCAUUCUUAACUCUAGAGUGGCAGGCGCAACUUUUCUGUCCUUUAGGAGGGAAAGAGGAACACCUUUUUACAUAAUGUAAAGGUCUCCUAUCCUUUCACUAACAAAAAAUAAGGGAAACACAGUUAAAUGUUCAAGAUAAAAACAAAUCAUUUAAUUUCCUUUAUAGACAUUAAGUAACGUCAUGCGGUGCUAAUCCCUCCCGUGUCAGCCCAUUUAAGAGCAGAGCUUCUGAAUGACAAUUUCAACUCCGUCAUGAUCCUGUCAAUAUCUUCUUUAUUAUUUGGAUAUCUUGUUUGAAAGAUGGCCUGGAGAGCGGGUGAUGGGGGCCCCAAUGAAGAAUUUCUCUAAACCUUUUCACCUUGACGUUCCACAAAUACACUUGGAGCACAUGUACCAUAUGCAGAAACUUACAUAUUCACCUAAUGGUGGGGAGAAUUGAUACCAAAACAGGGAGCAAUAGCAAGUAUAUGAAGGGGAAGGAAUAGAGUUGACUAGCUCAUUAAGCUAGAAUAAGUAGUUGGAAAGCCAUAUGGGUCACCACAAAUAUUUAUCAGUUCUGCGUUCAUGAUGUCACGUACAUUUAGGCAAUGACAGUCCCAUCUGAGCCUCAGCUCUACUGGUCUGGGGAUUCUGACAUGUCUGGUUAGGUCUUGAGAAAUGGGGAGGUGGGUCCUGCCAGGGGUCACUUGGGAUGAAGACUGAGGCACAUCCUAACAAAAACAAAAGCAAGUAAAGUCGUUUUAAGGGACAAGAGCCAGGCGAUGGGGUUAAUUCCUGUGACCAAUGACCCAAUUACUAAAGGUCUUUUGAGUGGUUCAUGUCGUGGACCUAUAGAAGUUGAACCUCAUGAUGGACUUGGACUUGAGGCAUAUGGAAAAAAAGGCAAUGAGAAACACUUUCUGUGAGGCCCGGUGGGUCCAGGGUGUGGUACAAGGUGGGGGAAGACAUUUUCUCCAUUGCAGCAGAGGGACAUCAGGGCAAGAUGAUGUUGGUACAGAUGUGGCCAGGAAGGUUGGCCGUGGUAGUUACUACGAGACAGUGUGGUGGCUGGUGGCAGUGUGGGCUCCAUCAUGGUAUGGCUUUGGCUUAGGACCUUCACCCCUCAAGCAGUACCUGCAGCAGGUGGGAUCCACCAUGUGCCUUCAUGGUUUUUCCUGCCCCCCAGGCCUCGGACUUGCAUCACUGCAGGCCCUGGGGGACUGGCCAGGGGAGAAAAGGGCCCUCUCCCAGGGCCGCUGAGUGUGCUACGUUCUUGAGCCCACUGAUACCUUGUGGGGAUCCCAGGAUGAUGGUUGUUGGGGCAGGAUGUUGCUGGACUCUGAAGAGGGGUGAGAGGACCUACAUAAUACAUAAUGAUGAGCAAAAUUCAGUUAAUCAACUGAUCAGUACAUUCAACAAUAUUUACUGACCACUUACUGAGCAACUAAGUAGCAAAUCUAAUAAAACACCGUGUGCUACUGUUAAUGUGAUGCUGUUUUCUCUACUGUAAUGGGGCUCCUCUCGGGAAUGUUCCAUGCCCUGCUUACCAUUUGUUCCUUCCCUCUCUUCCCCAGUCUCUAGACCGCUGAGGCUCUCAGGCUAAGACUGUUGCAAAAGCCUUUUGACUCAUCCCUAUUUUUUUUAAUUAAAAAAAAUUUUUUUUUAAGUUUACUUAUUUAUUUUGAGAAAGAGCACAAGCAGGGGAGGGGCAGAGAGAAGGAGAGGCAGAAUCCCCAGCAGGCUCUGCACCAUCAGCACAGAACCCGGCGUGGGGCUCAAACUCACAAACUGAGAUCAUGACCUGAGCCACGAUCAAGAGUCAGAGGCUUAACUGACUGAGCCACCCAAGUGCCCCUAACUGGUCUCUGUUUUUGGUCUCGCCUUCCCACGUCCUGGUUCUGUCGUCAGUCCCCUUGCAGAACCCGGAAUCCUAGUUCUCACUGACUCCACACCUCUAAUGCUUCUUUACCAGAGCACAGGUGUCCCCUGCUCUCUGGAAGCGGAGCAUUCCUAUGAACACUUUCGAAAACCAAAGUGGCGGAAAGUGGUGAGUCAAUUACCAGUAACUUACACGGAGCAAAUGCUGAGCAUUCCCAGAACCCCAAAUCACCUCUCUGGCUUUUUUGCAACCUUAGGACACAGCUUGCCGACAGAUGCACAAAAUCAAUGGAGACAAAUCACAGAUACUCAGAGACGCAGUUCAAAGCUCUGGAGGCCGGAUGCGGAGACGCGGAGUUGCUGAGGGUGCGUCCCGAGAAGGAGCUGGGUGGGGGCGGGGGAGGGGGCUGCUCUUCUGCUCAGGGGCAGUGCUGCCUCUACAAAUGCUGAACGCUACUGCGGCCUUUAUUGUAAAAGUGAACAACCUCUUGAGAUUUCUUUCCGUUAGCAAAAACAGCAGGUCCUAACGUAGGUCUUUGUAAAAGCAAAGUAGCCUAACUACUGAAGGCCUGAGCUUUCGAAACGCGGGGGACACCUGAACCCAGGGAUCUCUACCCUUACCUCUACCUAUGUUCCCAGGCUCGGCUCUCAGUGUCCUCAGCCCUCCCUGCUCCCCCUGGGUCCCACCUUGUAAGUGCCAGCUGCAGGCCUAUGGUGGGCGCUGCCUGGAUCGCCCCUCACAUUUUCCCAUCUCCCAUCCUUACUGAAGGUCUUAUAUGGGAAGGAAGACUUUCCCGCGAUAGAGGGUCCCUAUCAGUCUUCCCAAUUCCCUUUCUCCUACAUAAACUCAGAAUCAACUUCUUCUUUUAAACAGAUGUUUAUUCAUUUUGAGAAAAAAUGAGAGAGAGUGUGUGCAUGAGAGCGGGAGGGGCAGAGAGAGAGAGAGAGAGACAGAAUCCCAAGCUAUCAGCGCAGAGCCCAACAUGGAGUUCGAGCCCACAAACUGCGGGAUCAUGACCUGAGCCGAAAUCAAGAGUCAAACACUUAACCGGCUGAGCCACCCAGGCACCCCUAGAAUCCACUCCUUUUUUUCUAUAGCUCUGAGAAAGUCAAUGGACAGGGUUAUUCUGGUUCUUGUCCAUGCAUUGGAAUUCUUUGCGUGGAUUCAUCUUGCAGAUGUCAGAGUUACUUCGUCGUAAGACAAGGAUAAUUCAACAACUAUUUAUUAAAUUGUGUACGCUGCUUCCCCCCAAGUUUACUCGAUGGAAAAUCUUAAUGUGCCUGAAAACAGAAGUUCAGGGGCCCUUUCAGAUAAGAACAGAUGAAUCUUGAAGGUCAGAGCACUGGGGAGAAAUGUGUGUGAGCUGAAGGCACAGAGGAAAUGCUUGCUCACUGGGUGUUUUCCAGGAUAGUUAUUUAAGCAAUUGCAUUGCUCUGUCUUUAUCCUGGCACAAGAAAGAACAACUACUAAAAAUCCACAGGGCAUAAUCACAUUCCAACAAAAAAGUAGCAGCCAGAAAUGAAUCAGCUAUUUUAUACAGCGGUUAUCUUAGGACUGUAGUGACUGAUGUCAGGUAGGUGCAGGCAUGAUUUACAGGUCUGUGCAACGGAGAGCCCCAAACCACUUCCCUGUCUUUCUGUUCUGAAAAGCAGGACACAGUUGCAUUUACAAAGAAGUCAUCUUUAAGACUUUAAAAAAAUUCAACUGUAAUUAACCUACGGUGUGACGUUAGUUUCAGGUGUACAAUGUAGGGAUUCCACACUUCCUUACCUUACUCAGUGCUCAUCAUGGGUGAACUCUUAAUCCCCUUCACCCGUUUCACCCAAUCGUCCACCCACCUCCCCUCUUGGUAACCAUCUGCUUGUUCUGUGUAGUUAAGAGUCUGGGUUUUUUUGCUUGUCUCUUUUUUUAAUUUGUUUGUUUGCUGUGCUUCUUAAAUUCCACAUAUGAGUGAGAUCACAUGGUAUUCGUCUUUCUCUGACUUCUUUCACUUUGCAUUACACCCUCUCGAUCCAUCCAUGUUGUUGCAGACGGCAAGAUUUCAUUCUUUUCUAUGGCUGAAUAAUAUUCCAUUGUAGAUAGAUGCCACAUCUUUAUCCGUUCAUCUAUCGAUGGACCCUUGGGUGGCUUCUCUUGGCUAUUGUAAGUAAUGCUGCAGUAGCCAUAGGACGGCAUGUAUCUUUCUGAAUUGGUGUUUUUGUAACUUCUUGGGGAUACCCAGGAGUGGAAUUACUGAGUCAUAUGGUAAAUUCUAUUUUUAAUUUUUUAAGGAAUGUCCAAUCUGUUUUCCACAGUGGCUGCACCAGUUUGCAUUCCCACCAGUAGUGCACUAGGAUUCCUUUUGCUCCGUACCCUUGCCAACACCUGUCAUUUCUUGUGUUUUUUAUUUUAGCCAUUCUGACCAGUGUGAGGAGAUUGCCCCUUGUAAUUUUGAGUUUCAUUUCCCUGAUGAUGAGUGAUGUUGAGCAUCUUUUCAUGUGUCUGCUGGCCAUCUCUACAUCUUCUUUGGAAAAUUGUCUGUUCAUGUCCACUGACCAUAUAUUAAUUGCAUCGUUGUCUUUUGGGUGUUGACUUGUAUAAGUUCUUUAUAUAUUUUGCGUAUUGACCUCUUAUUGGAUGCAUCAUUUGCAAAUAACCUCUAUUCAUCUUUUGGUUUUGUUGAUGCUUGUUGUCACCGUGCAAAAGCUUUUUACUUUGAUAUGGUUGCAAUAAUUAAUUUUGCUUUUGUUUUCUUUGCCAAAAGAGACAUAUCUGGAAAAAUAUUUCUUUUUUAAAAAAUGCUUAUUUAUUUUUGAGAGAGAGAGAGAGAGAGAGAGAGUGAGUGUGGGGAAGGGCAGAGAGAGAAGGAGGGAGAGAGAAUCCCAAGCAGGCUCCACAUUAUCAGUGCAGAGCCUGACCCAGGACUUGAUCCCAUGAACUGUGAGAUCAUGACUUUAGCUGAAAUCAAGAGUUGGUCACUUAACCGACUGAGCCACCCAGGCACUUCUGGAAAAAUAUUUCUGUGGCUGAUGUCAAAGAGAUUACUGCCUACGUUUUUUGUUUUGUUUUGUUUUUUGUUUUGUCUUGUUUUGUUUUUUUCCUAAGACUUUUAUGGUUUCAGGUCUCACAUUUAGGUCUUUCAUUUUGAGUUUACUUUUGUAUAUGGUGUAAGAAAGUGGUCCAAUUUCAUUCUUUUGCAUGUAACUGCCCAGUUCUCCCAACACGAUUUGCUGAAGAGACUGUCUGCUUCCUAUCGUAUAGUCUUGCCUCUUUUGUUAUAGACUAAUUGACCAUAAAAGCUUGGGUUUAUUUCUGGACUCUUCAUUUUGUUCUACUGAUCUAUGUACUUCUUUUUGGCCAGUACCAUACUGUUUUGAUUACUAUAGCUUUGUAGUACACCUUGAAAACUGGGAUUGUGAUACAUCAAGUCUUGCUCUUUUUUUUUUUUUUUUCAAAAUUGCUUUGGCUGUUCAGGGUCUUUUUCGGUUGCGUAGAAAUUUAGGAUUAUUUGUUCUAGUUCUGUGAAAAAUGCUGUUGGUAUUUUGAUAGGGAUUGCAUUGCAUGUGCAGAUUGCUUUGGGUAGUAUUUUAUUUUAUUUUAACAAUGUUGGUUCUUCCAACUCAUGAACAUAGACUAUCUUUCCAUUUACUUGUGCCGUCUUUAAUUUCUUUCACCAAAGUUUUAUAGUUUUCAGAGUACAGGUCAUUUACCUCCUUAGUUAAGUUUUAAGGCUUCUUUAACAGCAACUAAAAAGUAACCUGAAGUGUGUCCUGUGUUAAAGGCCCGGUUCAUAACAUUAUUCCAAGCUCCUUUAACUCAGGCUCAUUCAGGGGGCUGACAGGACACCUGGGCUUGCCUCAUUUGUGUGCCACUCGGACUGUCCCAGGAUGGCCGGUAAAAGCAGUUUCAUAUUCCGCAACAGUCGACAGAACCUGACCUGCAGACUGUGCUGAUUGCCUUCACUAUUUACCCUUAACUGGAAAGAGUGAUCUGAAUACGGAUGGCCGAAUGGAAGCAACCAGUUCAAGGAAGCAGUCCAUGGCGGGCUGGUCCACGAUCACUAGGAACUGAGCCUAGAGGUUUGUUUUUCUCUUUUAAUAGGCGGAUGAUAGCAGAAGCCUGCUCGAGUCUGGCGCAUGGCUUGGGAAUGCUGUGCUCAGGAUGUGCUUCUAUCGUCUGGCAGAAUGUGAAGGACGCUCUGUAAUAACCCCUGAUAACACUGGAUCCCUUCUCCUUGGAACCACAGUCCCCUCCUAACUGAUGUUACAGGAUGAAGAAACACCCAAGGAACUCUGCCUUGGGAGGACGAAAUAAUACGACCUGGGAUCACCUUUCCCUUUGAAUCUCAAAAUGUCCUCUUCUGUCUAUAAAGGAUGCUUCACCACUUCGCAAAUGGUAAUAAAUGGUGCAAGAAUGAAAAAAAAAAUCUUUGACCUGGGCUGAUAGGACCAAGAAAUGUGAAACAUACCCAAGGGAAACUCUGACCCACUUAGGCUUCUACCAGAAAAAAAAUUGCCCCAAAUCCUCCAAAACCACCCCCUCCCCCAGCAAACAAACAAAAAACCCCAGGAUUUCAUAGUUACUUCCUGUCCUAUUUUAAACAGGGCCUUAAAAAGACAAGUAAGAGAUAAAUUUAGCAAGGUUUACAAGUCAGAAGGACCCAUUAAGGAAGUGCACAAAAGGCCAUGUGAGGUUCUGCUAUGGAUAUUUGCAUCAUCAACAACAACAACAACAGGGAAGUGGCCUUGAGUCCUGGGUCAGGACUCUCCCCCAGGGUUGGUAUAUAAGCCCCUCCCCCAGCAGGAGGCGGCACCAGACCUCCCUCACCUCCCGAGUCUCCCUCCUCCCCUCUCCCGAGUCCUCUCUGCCGACACCAU
rnacentral:lncRNA from 1 species